UACGUAGGGGGCUAGCGUUGCUCGGAAUCACUGGGCGUAAAGCGCUCGUAGGCGGAUUGUUAAGUCAGGGGUGAAAUCCUGGAGCUCAACUCCAGAACUGCCUUUGAUACUGGCGAUCUCGAGUCCGGGAGAGGUGAGUGGAACUGCGAGUGUAGAGGUGAAAUUCGUAGAUAUUCGCAAGAACACCAGUGGCGAAGGCGGCCCACUGGAUCGGUACUGACGCUGAGGUGCGAAAGCGUGGGGAGCAAACAGG
rnacentral:rRNA from 1 species